rnacentral:rRNA from 1 species
UACGGAGGGUGCAAGCGUUGCUCGGAAUCAUUGGGCGUAAAGCGUACGCAGGCUGUUCGUUAAGUCGGGUGUGAAAGCCCGGGGCUCAACCCCGGAAAUGCGCCCGAAACUGGCGAGCUUGAGUGCGGGAGAGGGAAGCGGAAUUCCUGGUGUAGAGGUGAAAUUCGUAGAUAUCAGGAGGAACACCGGUGGCGAAGGCGGCAUCCUGGACCGAGAUUGACGCUGAUGGCGCGAAAGCCAGGGGA